GAUGAACGCUGGCGGCGUGCCUAAUACAUGCAAGUCGAGCGAACAGACGAGGAGCUUGCUCCUCUGACGUUAGCGGCGGACGGGUGAGUAACACGUGGAUAACCUACCUAUAAGACUGGGAUAAAUUCGGGAAACCGGAGCUAAUACCGGAUAAUAUAUUGAACCGCAUGGUUCAAUAGUGAAAGACGGUUUUGCUGUCACUUAUAGAUGGAUCCGCGCCGCAUUAGAUAGUUGGUAAGGUAACGGCUUACCAAGGCAACGAUGCGUAGCCGACCUGAGAGGAUGAUCGGCCACACUGGAACUGAGACACGGUCCAGACUCCUACGGGAGGCAGCAGUGGGGAAUCUUCCGCAAUGGGCGAAAGCCUGACGGAGCAACGCCGAGUGAGUGAUGAAGGUCUUCGGAUCGUAAAACUAUGUUAUUAGGGAAGAACAAAUGUGUAAGUAACUAUGCACGUCUUGACGGUACCUAAUCAGAAAGCCACGGCUAACUCCGUG
rnacentral:rRNA from 1 species